AGAUUAAUGAGAUGGGAAUUCAGUGGC
rnacentral:piRNA from 1 species